rnacentral:sRNA from 1 species
UUAAAAAGUGUGAUCCUCAAAUUGACGAUGCCCUCAUACUCGAGUUCUAUGAUAUCAGUUAAGGUACCGUAGAAAUCCGCUUCAUCAGAUGAAUCAGCAUAAUUUUCACCUUUAACACAUAUCCCAUAGUUACAUGUCUUUUGUCCAGCGCCGUGAUUUUGCGUAUGAAACAAAUAUCCUCUUGUGAAAUACAUUGGCCAAGUUUUAACCUUGUUCAAAGGUCCUUGCACAAUCUCUUGAACCCAAGUAAGAAAUGAAGAAGUAGUGUUCUAAUAUGUUACCUACAUAAUAGAUAAACAAUAUCAAUUAGUAUAAAUUAAAUGAUCACUUUUCGAAAGAACCAAAAUUGAUGUAGACUUACAUAUUCUUUAACCCAUAGAUGAUAUUAUUCAGGUCUUCUCGCGUAGAGUUCUUUUUCGGGCAAGCAUGGAUAUUUCGCAGAAAGAUAAUCCUCGAACAUACUAUAUUUACAAACGAAGAAAAAUAAGUCAAAGUGAUCUUAGUGCAAAUU